GGGGACUCCUUUGCCUUAAGUGCAUCUACCUUGGGGGCCUGCAAGCUCCAGGGAGUGCAAAUCCAUCAGUGUGUAGAACACAGCCUGUCUCGGAGACUGAAUGUAACCCUGAAUCUCUGUGUAAGAAGUCUGGAAACCCUGAAGCUGCCAUGCUGGAGAGACCACGUGGAGGUGCUUGAGUCCCAGUCCCAGCUGAACUCCUUCCAGCCUUCCCCACGAAGGCACCUGACAGCUCCAUUUCCUCAAGGCUGAUGCUGGUAAUGCUGUGUCUUCAUCCGGAGGCCACUAAAAACGAUGAGAGAAUGCUGUGUUCUCCUGUACCUAACGUUCACUUGAUGUCCAGUGGCCACCACUCAAUGACUCCUGUCCCCUUGGGCUUCAGCCCCAAUCCCACUAGCUCAUUUCUCUUCAGUCCUGGGCAUGUGAAACAAGCUGCUCUAAAUCAGAACAGAAACCAGCAGGUCUUUCCAGUGAGUUUGGCUGCCUUUCCUGCUCUGACCUCCUUUUAGCAGUAGGAAGAUUGCCAUCAACUCCUCAUCAUUUUGUCAAAUGAAAAAGACUUGGAUUUGGGCCCCCUCCAUUCCCAAGAAGAAAAUGGAUUUCCUAGGGCCUGGGCAAAGUCAUUGUUGUUACUGAUUUUAAUUGGUGAUUAAGCUCUGAACACCUUGAGAAUUAAGCUAGUUUUGAUAGCCCAGAUCUACAGGAAGCCAAAUUGUCACAGUUCUCCAUACUUACCAUGUGUUAAAGUGACAUUUCAGAUAUCUUCCCUUCUAAUUUUGGAGAAUUUUUGUUUGAUUUUGCACUUGGUGAAUGUUAAUAGUAUGUGGGGGUUAUGUGUGCUGAAUACAUUGACAUUUUCUCUCAUGAAUGAAGAACCAUAUCUCCUCUACCCAACAACAACUUUUGCUGUGUUCUGGGUGCAACUGGUGCAGAGGAUUGUGGGACAAGACCCCUGGCUAUAUUCUUUGCUUCAAUUCCUCUGUCCUCUGGCAGUUUCAUCUCACAGUGCUCAGGAACCAGGAGCCCCAGGGGAAACCUCAUUAGGCAGACGCUUGUCCCUGAGGGUUCAGAGCAUCCGCUGUAAGCUGCAUGGGAAGGGAGAUGAAGCUCUGUCGAGUCAUCUGGUGUCAGCUCAUGAGCACAAGAAU
rnacentral:lncRNA from 1 species